GGAAGCGGUUUAAUUUGCAGCGCCUUCCGUUUGCAUUGGAGGUUUGCAUUGGAGUUGGAGUUCGCAGAAAGGUUGGGUACGUCAGGAGAAACAGAAAAGCAAGUUGAAAGCUGGGAGAAAGGGCUCCUGAAGAAAUGUGAGGGGUAAAACAAGAAGACAGCGGAUCAAGAGGGAUCGGCAGUUGAAGAAAUGGGGACUGAGUAGAAAAUGAGUGACCGGUUUGAAAGAGGGGCCACUGCCCUUUCAUUCUGGACCAGAAAUAGGAUCUUAAGUGCAAUAAGGAUGAAGUCCAGGAGAAGGCAUCCAGGCCAGAUCAUAAAAGAGGAACCUCUUUCAGAUUUGCCCCCUUUUCAGGCAGUGAGUAUAAAAGGGCGGACUGAUUAGCAGAGGACCGAGCAGGAGAGGUGGAAGCCAUCCAUCGCCUCUGCCCACCAGCUUUGACUCCUCUACUGCCUGUCCUCUCGGCACUAUGGGGAAGAACCAGAUCCUUGCAGGGCCCUGCCUUCUUCUCCUGGGGUUGUUCCUCCUUCCUGGAGAGACCUUAGCCUCUACCGCACAACCGUAAGC